rnacentral:rRNA from 1 species
UACAGAGGGGGCAAGCGUUAUUCGGAAUUAUUGGGCGUAAAGGGCGCGUAGGCGGUUCGUUAAGUCAGAUGUGUAAUCCCCGAGCUCAACUUGGGGACUGCAUCUGAGACUGGCGGGCUAGAGUACUGGAGAGGGUGGUGGAAUUCCACGUGUAGCGGUGAAAUGCGUAGAGAUGUGGAGGAACACCAGUGGCGAAGGCGGCCACCUGGACAGUAACUGACGCUGAGGCGCGAAAGUGUGGGUAGCAAACAGG